UACGGGGGGGGCAAGCGUUGUUCGGAAUUACUGGGCGUAAAGGGCUCGUAGGCGGCCAACUAAGUCGGAUGUGAAAUCCCCAGGCUCAACUUGGGAAUUGCAUCCGAUACUGGAUGGCUUGAAUUCGGGAGAGGGAUGCAGAAUUCCAGGUGUAGCGGUGAAAUGCGUAGAUAUCUGGAGGAAUACCGGUGGCGAAGGCGGCAUCCUGGACCGACAUUGACGCUGAGGAGCGAAAGCUGGGGGAGCAAACGGG
rnacentral:rRNA from 1 species